AUUGAACGCUGGCGGCAGGCCUAACACAUGCAAGUCGAGCGGAGCGGCGGACGGGUGCGUAAUGCCUAGGAAUCUGCCUGGUAGUGGGGGAUAACGUCCGGAAACGGGCGCUAAUACCGCAUCCUAUCAGAUGAGCCUAGGUCGGAUUAGCUAGUUGGUGGGGUAAAGGCGUACCAAGGCGACGAUCCGUAACUGGUCUGAGAGGAUGAUCAGUCACACUGGAACUGAGACACGGUCCAGACUCCUACGGGAGGCAGCAGUGGGGAAUAUUGGACAAUGGGCGAAAGCCUGAUGCAGCCAUGCCGCGUGUGUGAAGAAGGUCUUCGGAUUGUAAAGUACUUUAAGUUGGGAGGCGUUACCAGCAGAAGAAGCACCGGCUAACUUCGUGCCAGCCGCCGCGGUAAUUC
rnacentral:rRNA from 1 species